GACUACAGGGGUAUCUAAUCCUGUUUGCUCCCCACGCUUUCGUGCCUCAGCGUCAGUUAUAGUUUAGUAACCUGCCUUCGCAAUUGGUGUUCUGUGUGAUAUCUAAGCAUUUCACCGCUACACCACACAUUCCAGCUACCUCAACUAUACUCAAGGAUAACAGUAUCAACGGCAAUUCUACAGUUAAGCUGUAGGCUUUCACCACUGACUUAUUACCCCGCCUACGCACCCUUUAAACCCAAUGAAUCCGGAUAACGCUUGCAUCCUCCGUAUUACCGCGGCUGCUGGCACGGAGUUAGCCGAUGCUUAUUCGUACAGUACCGUCAGCCCAGAACACGUCCUGGGGUUUCGUCCCGUACAAAAGAAGUUUACGACCCAUAGGGCCUUCAUCCUUCACGCGGCAUGGCUGGUUCAGGCUUGCGCCCAUUGACCAAUAUUCCUCACUGCUGCCCCCCGUAGG
rnacentral:rRNA from 1 species